rnacentral:rRNA from 1 species
AGUGAACGCUGGCGGUAGGCCUAACACAUGCAAGUCGAACGGCAGCACAGUAAGAGCUUGCUCUUACGGGUGGCGAGUGGCGGACGGGUGAGGAAUACAUCGGAAUCUACUUUUUCGUGGGGGAUAACGUUGGGAAACUUACGCUAAUACCGCAUACGACCUACGGGUGAAAGCAGGGGAUCUUCGGACCUUGCGCGAUUGAAUGAGCCGAUGUCGGACUAGCUAGUUGGCGGGGUAAAGGCCCACCAAGGCGACGAUCCGUAGCUGGUCUGAGAGGAUGAUCAGCCACACUGGAACUGAGACACGGUCCAGACUCCUACGGGAGGCAGCAGUGGGGAAUAUUGGACAAUGGGCGCAAGCCUGAUCCAGCCAUACCGCGUGGGUGAAGAAGGCCUUCGGGUUGUAAAGCCCUUUUGUUGGGAAAGAAAAGCAGCAGGUUAAUACCCCGCUGCUCUGACGGUACCCAAAGAAUAAGCACCGGCUAACUUCGUG